AAAGUCAGUUGUGGAAGGAGCAGGGGCUGCAGCUGGAGGAAAGUCAGUUGUGGAAGGAGCAGGUGCUGCAGCUGCAGCCAACCCAACAAUGGUGACAAAGACAAGAGCGAGAACAAUGAGUUUGCGUGCCAUUUUUGCUUAUACGAAGAAUAUAGCAGAUUUUCUCUCUAGGACAGAUCAAUAGAGAAACUCUGCAGGACAAAACAAAGAUGAUGAAGUGGUUGAAGGAUUUGGAAGGGAGCUUGUUAUAUAAACCUGAAAUGGGGUAGGGUUUUGAUUAAAAUGAGGAAACCACACAAGUCGGAGGCUAUUUUAGGUGGUUAACUCCUAAAAAUUACCAUGGAAAGUCUGCAAUUAGUCUAAUUAAGUUAAAACCAUUAGUCGAUCCAUAUCGGUUUGCUACUAAUUACUCGUAACUUUGCAUACUAAUUGAUGGUUUGUAACCAUGCUUCUCGUUUGUCUCUUGCCUGUAAAAGGGUUGAAUUAGUCAGGAUUUUUUGCAGUUCUUGAGGCCAAUAAAUUAAUAGUGCUUCCCCCCUACAAAAAAAAACAAAAAAAUCUAUAUUUAAACUUGCAUGGUCAAAGAAUAACUUCUGAACUCGAACCAUUCAUCUGCGAGUUGUGCGGGGAAUGUUUUUUCUUAAGAAAAUCUUGGUAAGGAACCAGACAUCACCCUUAGCUCUCAACUUUUGUGCCACUUGUGAAUCUAUAACUAUUGCUUUCUUGCACCAGAACUUUCAAGAGUACAGAAAUAAAAAGGAAGAAAAGGAGUGAACAGGAGCUAAAUUCUUUCAGUUGAAUAAAAGAAACCGGCAAAAAGACACCCAGAAGCUGUGAGAAACUUCUGGGAUAUUUAAACCUGUGUAAGUUUGGCUAAUAAGCAAUUUAACAGUCGAGUUGCAUCAAAUCUUACAAAAUGCUAAACGUCCUCCAAAGUAAAAAA